UAUAUGGCAAUUUAUUUCAAUAUGUUUUGUGCGUUCAUGGUAGGUAGGAUUAGCAGCAAUUUGAAGCAGAGACUUAUUAUUACAGAAUAAUAAGGUAGGUUGUAGAUGAGAAAUAUGAAGAUCAGUUAAUAAAUAAUGAAGCCAUUAAAGCUCACAAGUAGUAUAAGCUUAGGCUCUAUAAUUUGCCUCUGAAGAGGAACGAGAAA
rnacentral:misc_RNA from 1 species